rfam:Felis catus isolate Cinnamon breed Abyssinian chromosome D1, whole genome shotgun sequence.
GCCUGGCUGGCUCAGUCGGAAGAGCAUGCGACUCAUGAUCUUGGGGUCAUGGGUUCGAGCCCCAUGCUGGGUG